UACGUAGGGGGCAAGCGUUGUCCGGAAUCAUUGGGCGUAAAGAGCGUGUAGGCGGUCCGGUAAGUCGGCUGUGAAAGUCCAGGGCUCAACCCUGGGAUGCCGGUCGAUACUGCCGGACUAGAGUUCGGAAGAGGCGAGUGGAAUUCCCGGUGUAGCGGUGAAAUGCGCAGAUAUCGGGAGGAACACCUAUGGCGAAGGCAGCUCGCUGGGACGUUACUGACGCUGAGGCGCGAAAGCGUGGGGAGCAAACAGG
rnacentral:rRNA from 1 species